CGGGAACGGGGCGACAGCCACGGUCUUGUGCAAAAUGUACCUCUGGGCAUUCCUCUGUAUCGGUCGACGAUCUUGACACUAAUGGGCCGACUGGCGAGGACGCGCUCUCGCAUUGUCCUCUCUGCGCGCUCCCGUGUCACCUUCUGUUCCAAUAGCUGUAAUUUCCUCCGCAAUGUCCUGUUUUCUUUCUGGCUUUGAGUUAUUUCCAAACGAAACACUGCAUAGUCGUCGUCUACGAGUUUACAUAUGUCUGCCACGGCUGUAUUCGCUAGAACCUCCAUAAUGGAGGCUAUUUGAGAGUGAAAAGCCAUACAGUUAGCCAUUGUUAGCAGCUAGCUAGCGUUACCUAGAUACAAUCUAUCAAACAAAUCCUGUCUGCAAUGCGAAUUAAACACUACCUUUGGAGUUGAAAGCUGCCCCCACCGGACUCCGCACCAAGGGAGAGGGAGGCCAUAGCCGCAUUCUGGAAGUGGUAUGCGGUGAUGGAUGAGACGCUGCAGGGGUUGCCACUCCAUCAACCUACCAGUCAUCAUCUCCUCAUCCUCCUAAGGUGCAUCUGUGGGCUCCUCUCCCUCCCAGAAGGGUCCAGAUGUGGGGGCGGGAGAAGGAGAUAAUCCAUCCACGUCUAACCGGCCUCACAACCACAGACCAUGCGUAACCACGCCAGCCCAGGAUCUCCACAUCAGUCUUCUAAACCUGUGAGAUUGUCUGAGACCAGCCACCCGGACUGAGACCAGCAACCGAAGAAUUUCUGCACAAACUGUCAGAAAAGUGGCCUUUUAUAAAAACGGAUUUCAGGCAAUUCUACAUCAUUUUACAUGACUGGAGACUUUGGCAGAAUAUGUUUUAAUACCGCACAAAUUAUCUUAAAUGACAGGCUACUUUGAUACGGACUAACUGAGAAUCUGAAAUCAAUAAAAACGACCAUAUCUUGAAUCCAUCAAUAGCCUAGGUGUGUGGAGCCGCAUAUUGUUGGCUACAAUAUGAGGAAAUUAGUCCUAAAAUGCUUUCCAGUUAAACUGAUUUGUCCAAUGAUGCGCAGCUCACUCGCUGGUGAUGGCCGAUGCAAUCGUGCCAAAAGCCUUUCUCUCUCGUUUUACUUUGUAAAACAAUAUUUGAAAGUUGAUCAAAAAUGUUGGUAGCCUACAGCAUACAGAUCAUUCUAUGUUCAGUUCAGCAGGAGCUAUUUGCUUUACAACCUGUGUUUUCCCGUGAUUGUAUUUGAAAUAUUGCUAAAGGCCUGUUUUGUCUGCAUGCUGUUUGUUCACUGACAGAUUUGCCGUGCGUUCCCGCCUUGUUAUUAGGCUACACUCCACAGCUAUUAUUUAAAAGAGGCAAUUGGUCCUCUGACUACAUGUGUAGUAAGCUAUUUUUUUUUCUGAACAGACAGCAGUAACUUUGGAAAAUGUAUUUCAAUAUAUCAGGGGUGCUACAGCUCCUCCAGAAACCUUCGCGUGACUAUGCUUCUACAAGGAAAUAAAGAGGCGCAACUCUGGAGAGAUAAGAGUUGCAGACUCAUGUCUAGAAGAAGAGGCAGAGAGAUCAUAGAAAGUUAAUCACAUUCUAGUUCUGAGAGAGAUACAGGCACGCUUGUCACACAUUGGUCUCAAACAUAGGUUACAUUGUUGCGCAAACCAUAAACCUGGGCCGGCCUAACCUGAAUACAUACUUAGAAUAUCAGGCCCGGGCUGAAAAUCUACUUUUUCACAGUAUGUUUGUUUGUUUGUGUGUGUGUGGUGGGGUGGACAGGAGAAUCAACAAAGAGGCUACUUGUAUGAACUUUGAUCGCUUUUAUUCAACAUUUUUACAUUGCAAAAAGUCGAAAUAUUUUUUUAGGCCACGAGGCACCAGAUCCAACCAAAUAGGUUCCGACACGAAACAGUCCAAAACAGCAAGGUGCCAGAUCCUGCUCGUGCAGGAUUCAGCUCAAAUUAAACACU